ACGCUCGACACCUACGGGAAGCAGCAGUGGGGAAUAUUGCACAAUGGGGGAAACCCUGAUGCAGCGACGCCGCGUGAGUGAAGAAGUAUUUCGGUAUGUAAAGCUCUAUCAGCAGGGAAGAAGAUGACGGUACCUGAGUAAGAAGCCCCGGCUAACUACGUGCAGCAGCCGCGGUAAUCUGAGGCGGGCUGGACAAGGC
rnacentral:rRNA from 1 species